rnacentral:lncRNA from 1 species
UAAUUGGUUGCUGAGGAAGGGCCAGGAGGGGAAAGCCUCUGCUGCCACAUUCAUAUCCGCAGUGUCCCUUUACAGCCACACGACGUCUCCCAGACCAACGCUACGUAAAUGAGGGCAAAGUCCUGUGUCAGCUGAAGGGAUGAUUCACUGUCCAACAAUACAAACAAACAGCAGUUGGUAUUGAGGAAAUGUCACAGGGAGGUAAAACAAAUGGGAGCACGCAAGGGACUCGUGAGCAGGAAGAGCCGCACGCUAUUUGUUGUAGGCAACAACCCGCGCAGUCAAUGAGCCGUUCUUCUCCAGCAAAGAGUUUGCAAACUUCCUGGAGGCUUUAAAACAGCAGCAAAUAAAGCUAAGAAAGCAAGCUCUGGGUGCCGCUAGAUGGCAAUGGAGACAGCAGCACUGUGCAGUUGGCUUCAGCGUCGCCGGUGCUGCCCGCAUCCCUGUGCUGUAACAGCAAACACUGGCUGCUCCAAGGAACAGAUCAGUGCACUGGAUUCCAGGUUGGCACCGCCAAAAUUGUAAAUAUAUUUUAAGAGAUCCGAAUAAGGUCCAAAUUGAACUUUUUGGCACCUAGAAGAGGAAAUCGGCGGUAAUCAGGGAAAAAUUGUUUGUAAUCAGGAAGUGAUGCAACACAUGGGGGUCCAAACUGAGCUGCAUUAUCUUUGUGGAAGCUGAUUAAUUUGUAUUCGAAGCCUUUCCUUCCUUCCCAGGCAGGGAUGGAGAGCGCUGAAGCAUCAAUCAAAAGGCCGUUUCUUUCUUGAUAUUUUCCACGUGAUUUUCUCCUUCCCCCAGAUGUGAUCAUUAUCGGUGCGAGCCUUUCAGCUCACUUUACGAUGAAGACAGGCAGAAAUUGCCUGUAAAAAUCCCAAGCCUCACUGUUGGGUCCUGUGCUACGUCCCGAGUCCGAGAGGAUCCAAAGGAGAAAAAUGUGCUGACAUUUCCUUCAGCCAAAAUCAUUUCAUUUGGAGCAGAAUAAAUGCCAAUAAAUAAAUAAUAGAUAGAUAGAUAAAUAAAUAAAUAAAAGCAUCUCUUACUCAGCUGUACACCUGGCCUGGGAGUACAAAAUCUGUACUGAGCAGAGUGAAGUUUUGAAAACCUGUGUGUGAAAGCACAGAUAAAGCCUUCCACCUCAGAAGAAUUAAAUACCAUGAGCUGUCUCAGACCUUGAGGUAUUAUAGAUAAAAUCUUCCAGCCAUAUAAGCAACAGCUAUGAAAAACACGUUCAGCAGGAGGACUAACCUGCCUGCAUCACUGUAUGCCUUCAUUCCUAAGGAUGGAAGCAAAUCUGUGACAUUUUGCUGCUGGUGAGUACUGAACGGAUCCUCAGCUGAUGUAGAUUGCUGCAAUUGUUCAUUACUGUCGAGAGCAGACAUGAUGCAGCAAUGGGAACUUGGAGUGUUCCCAUGAUCUGACCAUGUAAGAGAAGUUGGAGUUGGCCAGCUCUGCAUGCAACUGAGAGCUCUGCAAUAUGGCUCAGGGUGCUCUGGGGAUGUGGUGGAUCUGCCCAGGAAGAUGGAAAAUUCAGGGUAAUAUUUGUGUUUGCUUGGGGGAAAAAAAAAAAAGAACAAGAAAAAAGUCAAUAAGGCAGAUCUUGAUGCAUGCACUGAAAAGAGUGUAUUUGUGCUGUCAUCUUUGCUAUAGAGUCCCUGACCUUCUGUGGUCUCACAGCUAAUGGCAAUUAACUUAGUUCACUGAGCAACGAGUCUGUGGCAACUGAAGUAUGGGCUGUGGGUGCUCUGUGGUUGCACGACGUGCUGAAAGCAGCAGGCAGGCAGGCCAGCCUCUUUGCAUGGCCAGCUGAUAGCUGUCAUUACCUGGAACAGCAGAGCAUGACACCAAAGCACUCAGACACUUUGCAAAAGAUCAUUGGCGCAGUUAAGCUUGCACCUUUUUACAUCGGUUGGGGUCAAUUAUGGGUUUCUGAAUACCUCCAGCUCCCCCUGCAGCCAUUCAGUAAAGAAAGCCAGCCUGGGGCUUGAUGAUGGAUGAUUAAUCUUUAUUUAACCGCAUAUUAAAACAUUAUUUCUUUCUUUCUUUCUUUCUUUUUUUUUUUUUUUUAAUGAUAAUCCACAAUUCCCUACCAGCAGCUGUUGAGGUCAUUUGGUUUUGUGCAAUCCUUUUAACGCUGUGCUUGGAUCUGCUCUGAGACUUCUCCCUCGUUACAACGGUGCAGCAGACUUCCUUCAUUUCUUCUCUCCACUGGGGAGCCAAGCACUGAGCGUGUGCUACCUGCCUUUGUGUGAAUCAGAUAACUGGGAGGAAAGCUGAUGAGGGCUUAGGGCAGUUUAUCAGUGUUUCUCAGGAAUCCCAUGCUUUGUAGGUCACUGUUAUUCUGGACUUGUAAGUGUUUCUGGCUUCUUAUCUGCUGCUUGUCUUGCUCUGUAUCAAAAGAUGCUCCCCUCUUAGAGAUAAGCCUCCUCUUUUUCAUAGCCCUUUUAUUAUCACUGUCUUGGAGUUCUCAGUAGCUCUGCUUGGAGAUCCUACUAAUGCCCAAAUAGCAAGACGUCCUCCCUGAGAUUUACCUAACUAAUGGAACCCAGCCCCAGGGUGCUGGGGGUGUCCUCACUGCAGGAAGAACCUCAGCCAGCCCUAGGGGUGCCUGGGGAAACAUCUCCCCAUGGAGCAUCCUGGGGCCAGAUGGGUGGUGCUCCUUGGGAUGGCUGCAAGGGGAAAAAAGCAUCUGUGCUCAUGUUUUGCUAAUCUAAUUAGGCAAGAAAACAUCAUUAAUGCUCUGCGUGUCUAAUUGAUUAACAUUCCCACUAAGCACAGGGUUGUUCUCAUUAGCAGGGCUUCGUAUCUGUGAAUGCUUCUUUGCCUGAAGAUACAAAUAUGCUGUGUUAUCUAGAAGGCACAUCUCAUCACUUUCUUUAUGAAAUGCUUGGUAUUUUUACAUGGCUUUUAGUGGCACAGAGAUAUGAGGAGAGCCAUGAGCAAGGAACAAGUAAAGAUUCUUGGAAAGUGAGGGUUUGCUGCAUUUGUGUAUCGUUAAUAGUAAAAUGAAGCAAGAUCCCCUACCCCAUUGCAAUGGUAAAGAUUUUCCCUUCUCUGUGGCAAAUUAAUAUGAAUCUUUGAAGUGUGUUCCAUGGAAAUAAAUAGGAGGCGUUACUUUUGGAGCAGCCUUGUUGAAUUUUGUUUCUGUUUUAUUGAAGGGGGAAAAAAAAUCUUCCAAAAACUAUUUUGAAGUAAUUAGCUUUAGAAAUUCUUUUGGCAUCCAUUGCCUCUAAGGGGAAGUGGUGUGAAAGGCACUGGGCCUCAGUCUUCCACUUGACCACCCCUAACCAAGCAAACCAUGCUCUUCAUUCAGAC